UACGAAGGGGGCUAGCGUUGUUCGGAAUUACUGGGCGUAAAGGGCGCGUAGGCGGUUUGACCAGUCAGGUGUGAAAUUCCCGGGCUUAACCUAGGAACUGCAUCCAAGACUGGCUAUCUGGAGUGCGGUAGAGGGUAGUGGAAUUUCCGGUGUAGCGGUGAAAUGCGUAGAUAUCGGAAGGAACACCAGUGGCGAAGGCGGCUACCUGGACUGACACUGACGCUGAGGCGCGAGAGCGUGGGGAGCAAACAGG
rnacentral:rRNA from 1 species